rnacentral:ncRNA from 1 species
CUUAUCAAGAGAAGCCGAGGGAUAUGGCCCGUUGACGCUUCAGCAACCUCUAACAUUGAUUAGAAAGGUGCUAAUUCCAGCGGGGGAACUCCCGAGAGAUAAGA